rnacentral:rRNA from 1 species
AACGAACGCUGGCGGCAGGCCUAACACAUGCAAGUCGAGCGCGCCCUUCGGGGUGAGCGGCAGACGGGUGAGUAACGCGUGGGAACGUGCCCUUUUCUACGGAAUAGCCUCGGGAAACUGAGAGUAAUACCGUAUACGCCCUUUGGGGGAAAGAUUUAUCGGAAAAGGAUCGGCCCGCGUUGGAUUAGGUGGUUGGUGGGGUAAUGGCCUACCAAGCCGACGAUCCAUAGCUGGUUUGAGAGGAUGAUCAGCCACACUGGGACUGAGACACGGCCCAGACUCCUACGGGAAGCAGCAGUGGGGAAUCUUAGACAAUGGGGGCAACCCUGAUCUAGCCAUGCCGCGUGAGUGAUGAAGGCCUUAGGGUUGUAAAGCUCUUUCAGCUGGGAAGAUAAUGACGGUACCAGCAGAAGAAGCCCCGGCUAACUCCGUG